GAUGAACGCUGGCGGCGUGCCUAAUACAUGCCAGUCGAGCGAACGGACGAGAAGCUUGCUUCUCUGAUGUUAGCGGCGGACGGGUGAGGAACACGUGGAUAACCUACCUAUAAGACUGGGAUAACUUCGGGAAACCGGGGCUAAUACCGGAUGAUAUUUUGAACCGCAUGGUUCAAAAGUGAAAGACGGUCUUGCUGUCACUUAUAGAUGGAUCCGCGCUGCAUUAGCUAGUUGGUAAGGUAACGGCUUACCAAGGCAACGAUGCAUAGCCGACCUGAAAGGGUCGACGCCUACCCGGUAAGUGAGAAUGGUCCCCGACUCCUACGGUGGGACGCAGUAGGGACUCUUCCGCGAUGGAGGAGAGCCUGAUGGUGCACAGCCGGGUGAGUGAUGAUGCUCUUCGGCUCGGAAAGCUCUGUUAUUAGGGAAGAACAAAUGUGUAAGUACCUGUGCACAUCUUGACGGUACCUAAUCAGAAAGCCACGGCUAACUACGUG
rnacentral:rRNA from 1 species